CUUAGCUGAGUCAACACCCACACAGUCUCCUUUUAUUACACCACCUUUUAUUCCAUUCAACCUUGCUCUCAAGAAUGCUGGCUUCUCCUCCACCUUUAACGUGUUUCUUUCCCUGCACCCGACAUGGCUGGAUGUUUGUCAAGGAACCCACCAUAAAUCCCAGAGUAGACUGCUUGUUGCAUGUGUGUGUGCGUGUGUGUGUGUGUACACACUAAGUAGGGAAGGAGAAGGGGAAUGGGAGAACAGGAGAAAGUUCAUAAAAACAGCUGCCAACAUUUCUAAAACAGUUGCUUCUUUAUGUUUAUCUCCUUCCCCUGACGUUCAGCUCAAAGGACAAUACCAUUACCACCAGGGCCAGCUGCUGUCUACUGUGAGUCUCCAGGAGUCAGGUGCCGUGCUAGUGCUGUAUGAACACGACCUCUGAGCGUUACACUGGCUCUGCAAGGAGACGCAUGCUGAAGGAUUCAUGGGCAAAGUGUUGUAACGUCUGCAACUUACAUUCAAAUAAUUCAAGAAAAAGUGUCUCCGAGAGAGAUGAGAGAGACCAUGAAACUGUGCAGAAACCACAACCUAGGCUCUGAGGCCUUCCUGGGAAGUCAGCAAUUCCCUCUGCAGGACAGGAAACUAGGGCUGCUGCGUGAGGUCAUGGUGUGAGAUCACGGUGAAGUCUCGGUCUGGAACUGACAUGUGAGGAACCGAGAAAGGGAGAACUGGGCCCUGGACUUUCCAGGCGGCUGCUCCGCCCUGGUUAUGCUAAUGCAUCCAGAGAAAGCGCCUCGACCUCCUGCAACAAGACGGUCUAGAAGAGGGUUCUCUCGUGACCUUAAACUUCUAAUUUCUGGCCCAAAUCCUCAGGACAUUCAACUGUACACUCCUAGGAGCUUGCUUUGCAAAGAGAGGACUCAGAAACUAACAAGUACUAGCUCUAACCUCAAGCCCAGAGAAUGUCUGACACAAAAAGUCAUUUACUCCACCCAACACAACGAGCCAGUUUCCCAGGUCACAAGGAGCCCUUUGCUCAGUCUAAACAUAACGCUGUGGCUUGGAAACAACUGGUCUUCCUGACUGAGGACUCUGCGGUGGUGGUGACAGCCACCAGACAAGCCCUGUAAUCAGCAGAAUUUUCUUUUAACGCUAAAUUAAAAAUCAAUGUAAGGUCCUAAAUCAGUUUUACAAUGUGACUUUGCAUAUUGUUUAUUAAUCUUAGUCAAGCAGAACACGAUGAAUUUUUUCAGGCAUAAUUCUGUGGCACUAUCACCGAAAGAAAUAUUGGAAAGAUUAUUGAGUUAUAUGGUGACUCUGCAGUGUCAACAGCCAAAUUAAUCAUUUGGAUUGAAAAACUUAUUUUUCAGUUAAUUAACCAAAAUGCAUAUAUUGAGAGCUUUCUAUGUGCCCAAAAGGCAUAGGCCUUGUCCUCAACAAGAAAUUUAGCUAUGGACCCCAAACUGACAUGCAUGUAAUGAUUAGUGAACAAUUACGUAUGUGUCAGGUCCAGUAAUUCAGCCCAAAAAAGGGCUCGCACCUGAAAUUAUUUGGACCAUUUCAGUUGUACCGAUCCAUCCCAAAAUCCCCAUCUGGGCAUCUCACAGGUUGCUCAAAGUCAACGUGACCAAAAACAGACUCAUGAUUUUCUCCCCUCAUCAGUCAUGAAGUCCUACUGGUUUUACUCCUCCUCUUCUCCCUUUCUAUUCCUGUGCCCAUUUCAUCAGCAGCCUGGACCGCGGCCAUACUAUAGGUAGUCUCCUAACUGGUCUCCUUCUCGCCAGCCUUGUUCCUUUCAAAUCCAUUAUCUACCUCAGCCUCCAGAGUGUUCUACCGAAAGUGCCUCUGGGAGCAGCCACUCUCCCCAAGGCUCACAGAAUGAAGUCCAAGGUCCUCGGCCUGCUGUACUAAGCCCUGCCACCAGUCAUCAUCUGUCAUUUCCUGGUAGGCACUUUAUGCACCAGCGACACAACUGCCCACUGUUCCCCAGGUAUGGGCUGGACCAGCUGCUUCUGGGAGGGCUGUCAUGACUUGAUACAGCCACAAGACACAACACGUCCAAGUCAGCCUGAGAGAGAGACUUUGGCAAGGCAACACGAGGAAGGUUGUUGAACAAGCUGUCCCGGUUUAAGCCACUUCCAAAUGAUAAAAAUAGGUACUCCGGGGAUUGCGUUAGGCUUUGACGGGAAUAUAUAAUACUUGUAAAGAAACUUUCAGGACUCAAGAGCACUGUGGGCUGUUCUUUUAGUUCAACAGGGUGAAACUUGAUAAUUAAACACAAUUCAGCAACCAUGUUGCCAUCUACACAGUCUAAAUUCAACCAGAGAUAAUACCCACCCACUUUGAGCACCUGGCCUAUUAGCAUGUAGAUGAUUCUCAUUGGACUCCAGAUUAAUAAAAUUCGCCAAAUAUCAAACACCAGUUGAUUUGCUUUGUUUCUAAAAAUUGCUCCCUGAAAUGCAAACUGGUGCAGCCACUAUGGAAAACAGUAUGGAGAUUUCUCAAAAAAUUAAAAAUAGAACUACCAUA